UCCACUCUCACUAAACUUCCCUUCCUUUAUUCCCCCAAAAUAGGUCCCUUGACAUCAUCCAGUCCUCUGGUCUCCCCUUCCAUCUGUCAGCUCCUUUCUGACCUCACUCCCUUCCCUACCCAGACUGGAUCUCACAGUCAAGCAUGCGAACCACUCUCUCCCCAGCACCUUCAAUUCUCUGCUGCUUUGUACUCACAACCCACCUACCUAUCAAAGCCCCAGUUCUGGGUCCCUCCAACCACUCAGCUUGCUGUUUCUGAUGUCAUGCUGCUAAGCACAGCUGGAGGAAAUCACACUGCUAAUUAUACUGAUGGAAAUGGUUUCCAGCCUGAGGGUCAAAGUCAGAGGUGCACACCUUGGAUACAAAAUGAAGACAGCCUCUCCCCUCCAUGCUCCUACCUUCCAGAGGCAGCUGGGAACCAUGACACUGUGGUAGCAGCAUGGCUAAUGGAAGCCUAUGACAGUGCAGAGGACGCCCAACAAGAAGCACCUGAGCCUUGUUGGGAGGCUGGUGGAAGAAAUUCACAGCUGAGGCUUCUGAGCUGUGAUUUCUCAUCUCCCUCCAUAUCCCUUUGUCCCAAUGACAUUGCCAUCUUUUCCCCUCCAUUAAGAAAUUGUGGUAAAAUAUGCAUAACACAAAA
rnacentral:lncRNA from 1 species